GUGCUUGCUUUGACAGCACAUAUACUAAAACUAAAACUAAUACAGAAAAAGUCAGCACAGUCCCUGUGCAAGGAUGACACACAAAUUCAUGAAGUGUUCCAUAAUUUG
rfam:Tupaia chinensis contig85054, whole genome shotgun sequence.